AUUGAACGCUGGCGGCAGGCCUAACACAUGCAAGUCGAGCGGAGCGGCCGACGGGUGAGUAAUGCAUAGGAAUCUACCUGGUAGUUAGGGAUGACGUACGGAAACGGGCGCUAAUACCGCAUAGGAUCAGAUGAGCCUUGGUCGGUUUAGCUAGUUGGUGGGGUAAGGGCCUACCAAGGCGACGAGCCGAAGCUGGCCUGCGAGGAUGAUCAGUCACACUGGAACUGAGACACGGUCCAGACGCCUACGGGAGGCAGCAGUGGGGAAUAUUGGACAAUGGGCGAAAGCCUGACCCAGCAAUGCCGCGUGUGUGAAGAAGGUCUUCGGAUUGUAAAGCACUUUUAGUUGGGAGGCGUUACCAACACAGUAAGCACCGGCUAACUUCGUGCCAGCAGCCGCGGUAAUAC
rnacentral:rRNA from 1 species